UUAAGGCACCUGUGGCAGGAGAGCUGCCUUUCCUUUGUCUGUGCCUGCUCGCUGCCACAUGGUCUGAACAGAGGUAAUGAGGCCUGGGUCAUUGUAUUCGACAAUUUACUUUGAGUUCUGACCUGCUUAUCAGUUGCUGAAUUGUGUUUGUUCGUUUAGAUUGUUUGCUUUCACUUUGCACUUUUCCCUGUCUGUCACCGUCCAUUGAUACAGGUAAUGUGAAGUAGGUCGGCGGAAACUUGGAUGAAUGAACCUAAACAGACACAAUCAGCUGCUAUUUUUGUCUUUAAGAGUUUGUUUUGUGUUGUCAACAUUUUAGACAUUUGAUCAUAGAGCCAUUUUAAUAGAACCAACUGGGGUUUUGUUUCCCUAGUUUUAAUCAUUUCUUUUGUAUAACCUUUUUUUCUUUCUCGUUCUUUACAGUGCAGUGGUGGCUGGCUAGCAGUGAAGGCUAGGCAUGUUGAGAGGUUCCCCACACCUUUUGUUGAAGUGGCAGAUGUACUGGGGCACCAUAGUCUACGCUGGUUUGUAGUGUUUUCAUUGCGUUCACGUGUGGUGGGUAAGUGCACUCCUGGGACACUUCCUUUUGGUAGACUACCUCCCUCUUGCUAGCUCCCACUCGCUGCCCCCUUCUGUUUUGUUAGUUUAACUGUAUGGAAGUGUUUUAUUGGUUAACUGUUAAAAAGAAUCAGUUGUAAUAAACUUUUCUACUCCAUUCAAUAUUCAAACUCAUUUGUUUUCUUUCAGCUGGCACUUCCAGGUCC